CCUACGGGUGGCAGCAGUGGGGAAUAUUGCACAAUGGGGGAAACCCUGAUGCAGCGACGCCGCGUGAGUGAAGAAGUAUUUCGGUAUGUAAAGCUCUAUCAGCAGGGAAGAAGAUAGCCGGUCCCUGACUAGGAAGCCCCGGCUAACUACGUGCCAGCAGCCCCGGUAAGCCGUAGGGGGAAAGCGUUAUCCGGAUUUACUGGGUGUAAAGGGAGAGUAGACGGCUGGGCAAGGUUGAAGUGAAAGACCAGGGCUCAACCCUGGGACUGCUUGUGAUACUGUGGAGCUAGAGUGCUGGAGAGGUAAGUGGAAUUCCUAGUGUAGCGGUGAAAUGCGUAGAUAUUAGGAGGAACACCAGUGGCGAAGGCGGCUUACUGGACAGUAACUGACGUUGAGGCUCGAAAGCGUGGGGAGCAAACAGGAUUAGAUACCCUAGUAGUC
rnacentral:rRNA from 1 species